UGGGAAGUGUUCAGCUCUUGCAGCAAUGCUGGCUGCCUGACUGAUUGCCUAUUCACCUCCUCGCCUUCACUUCAUCUACUACACUGCCUUGGCAGAUGGGCCUACCGCAGGUACAUCAAGCUGCACCCGAGCGAACAGGCAGCAAAGGAGAGGAGCCAACUGGCCAACAAAUACAUUGGACAGAUGCUGGGAGACAUGAUGAGGAAAAAAAAGUAGAAAUAUAUAUCAUAUGCAUCUGUUCCA